rnacentral:rRNA from 1 species
UACGUAGGGUGCAAGCGUUGUCCGGAAUUAUUGGGCGUAAAGAGCUCGUAGGCGGUUUGUUGCGUCGGCUGUGAAAUCCCGAGGCUCAACCUCGGGUCUGCAGUCGAUACGAGCAAACUAGAGUGUUGCAGGGGAGACUGGAAUUCCUGGUGUAGCGGUGAAAUGCGCAGAUAUCAGGAGGAACACCGAUGGCGAAGGCAGGUCUCUGGGCGAUUAAACUGACGCUGGAGGAAGCGGAAAGCAUGGGGAGCGAACAGG